rnacentral:lncRNA from 14 species
CUUUCUUUUCCUUGUGCUCUGAGGGAUUCCCACAGAAGGGAUGCUUUGUGCUGUAUCUCACUUUUAUGCUGAGAUACCUAUGUUUGUUACACUUUGGAAUGUGUUCCUGGCAACUUGCCAGCCAUGAGCGGAAGGAGGCAAAGAGCCUUUUUGGAGGGGUGAGGAUUUGGACAAGGAGUGGGGCUGGUAGUCCAAGCAUCCUUGAAGAAAGAGUGAUUUUUCAUUGGCCACCUUAUACUCCACUGUGCAACCUUGGUCUUCAUUUGAGUGGAGAGUAUGGAUGACAGCUGACACUGGAAUGAAAAUUAGACUUUUUUCAAGACAUUUGGAUGGCAAGACUGCUAACAGAUUCUCAUCUGAUACUGUGCUGCAUUUUAUCAUGUGGAGAUUGACCCCCCCACUGUCCUGAGUGCCACGCAGUGAGACAAAAACUUCAAUGCUCUCUUUACUGCUUCAACUGAGUGAUGAUCAAAGAAUUGCAUAAAUCAGAAGAAAUACAGGGAAUAAACCAGAUAUGUUCUUUCA